rnacentral:tRNA from 1 species
AUCUGGUUGGUUCUGUCAGUAGAGCAUGAGACUCUUGAUCUUGGGGUUGUGAGUUCGAGCCCCAUAUUGGGUG